rnacentral:rRNA from 1 species
GCUUGUCUCAAAGAUUAAGCCAUGCAAGUCUUAGUAUAAGCUGUUAUACGGUGAAACUGCGAAUGGCUCAUUAAAUCAGUUAUAGUUUAUUUGAUGAUUUCAGCUACAUGGAUAACCGUAGUAAUUCUAGAGCUAAUACAUGGGAAAAGACCCGACUUUUUGGAGGGUUGUGUUUAUUAGAUAUGGUAACUGACGGCCCUUUAGUGGGAGAAGUUGGUGAAUCAUGAUAAAUGUUUUACGGAUCGCAUUUGUCCGCAAGGAUGGCGAUGGAUCAUUCAAGUUUCUGCCCUAUCAACUUUCGACGGUUAGGUAUUGGCUAACCGUGGUGACCACGGGUAACGGGGGAUUAGGGUUCGAUUCCGGAGAGGGAGCCUGAGAAAUGGCUACCACUUCCAAGGAAGGCAGCAGG